rnacentral:lncRNA from 1 species
ACAUAAUCCACCUCACAUAAUCCACCCACACUCACAUAAUCCACCUCACAUAAUCCACCCUCACAUAAUCCACCCUCACAUAAUCCACCUCACAUAAUCCACCCUCACAUAAUCCACCCUCACAUAAUCCACCCUCACAUAAUCCACCUCACAUAAUCCACCCUCACAUAAUCCACCCUCACAUAAUCCACUCUCACAUAAUCCGCCUCACAUAAUCCACCCUCAAAUAAUCCACCCUCGCAUAAUCCACACUCACAUAAUCCACCUCACAUAAUCCACCUCGCAUAAUCCACCUCGCAUAAUCCACCCACCCUCACAUAAUCCACCUCGCAUAAUCCACCCUCACAUAAUCCACCCUCACAUAAUCCACACUCACAUAAUCCACCUCACAUAAUCCACCUCACAUAAUCCACCUCACAUAAUCCACCCCUCACAUAAUCCACCUCACAUAAUCCACCUCACAUAAUCCACCCCUCACAUAACCCACCCUCACAUAAUCCACCUCACAUAAUCCGCCCUCACAUAAUCCACCCUCACAUAAUCCACCCUCACGUAAUCCACCUCACAUAAUCCACCUCGCAUAAUCCACCCACCCUCACAUAAUCCACACUCACAUAAUCCACCUCACAUAAUCCACCUCACAUAAUCCACCCUCACAUAAUCCACCUCACAUAAUCCACCCUCACAUAAUCCACCUCACAUAAUCCACCCUCACAUAAUUCACCCUCACAUAAUCCACCUCACAUAAUCCACCCUCACAUAAUCCACCCUCACAUAAUCCACCCUCACAUAAUCCACCCUCACAUAAUCCACCCACAUUCACAUAAUCCACCUCACAUAAUCCACCUCACAUAAUCCACCCUCACAUAAUCCACCC